AGAGUUUGAUCCUGGCUCAGGAUGAACGCUGGCGGCGUGCUUAACACAUGCAAGUCGAACGAAGCGAUUUGACGGAAGUUUUCGGAUGGAAGUUAAAUUGACUGAGUGGCGGACGGGUGAGUAACGCGUGGGUAACCUGCCUCACACUGGGGGACAACAGUUAGGAAUGACUGCUAAUACCGCGUAAGCGCACAGGACCGCAUGGUCCGGUGUGAAAAACUCCGGUGGUGUGAGAUGGACCCGCGUUUGAUUAGCUAGUUGGUGGGGUAACGGCCUACCAAGGCGACGAUCAAUAGCCGACCUGAGAGGGUGACCGGCCACAUUGGGACUGAGACACGGCCCAAACUCCUACGGGAGGCAGCAGUGGGGAAUAUUGCACAAUGGGGGAAACCCUGAUGCAGCGACGCCGCGUGAGUGAAGAAGUAUUUCGGUAUGUAAAGCUCUAUCAGCAGGGAAGAAAAUGACGGUACCUGACUAAGAAGCCCCUGCUAACUACGUGCCAGCAGCCGCGGU
rnacentral:rRNA from 1 species